ACCAACAGGACUUCCGCUCAUACUACUUUGAUUUAUACCUGGGCCAGCAAUACCUCAAUUCUUGACUACUCUCUUAGGAAACCAGUUGUUUGUCUCGUCUUCUCAUUCUUUAGUUAAUGAUCGAUCCGUUUUACUUACUUCAAAGCUAAGCUGGCUUUCCUUUAUUUACUCCGAUACUAGUACCGAUUAGACUUUCGCUAUUGAUCUCAAAGCUUGCUCCACUGGCUAUGUGCCUCCCCUUCCCUUCCCAAACUCUGACUCCUAUGACCUUCAAUACCUGUGUUAGAGCAUCAGCCUGUAGCAACUGCCUAAAAGUCUGGAAGUUAGUCCCUUCCUACUAGCUCCCUAGGCGCUCUGACUUGAACUCCCUUCUUGCUGUACAUGCUUUCAAUCUUAUAUUCCUUUCUCUUGGCCUGUGACUCAUACCUUGUUCUCCGCCUAUGAAGCCUUACCUCAGCUAUUUAUCUACUGAAUCGGAUCCAGCUUAACACUAUCCUUCUGUGCUUCCAUUCCCGGGCUUCCACCUGUCACCUGUCAUUCUUUAUUCACUCAUUAGGGCUUAGACCUAGGCCUGUCCUGUUAUUCCUAUACUAUAUAAAUAAGUAAAAGAGUGAACCUACCUCUCGCCCACCUACGCACCCCUCCCUAUGAAAAGUAGGAAAUACACCUAUACGCCUAUGCCCCACCAACGAAUGAAACAAAGAAGUCAGACACUCCCCACCCACUAACUCGGGCUAACACACCGCUAACCGACUUGAACUAGUGGGCAAGCAACGUACAAUCAACGUACAACUAAGUAAGAGCCAAAACAAGUAACAACUAGUCAAGCACGGAACGAGACCAACCCUACUCUACUAUAUUGCAUUGCGUGUAUCAAGGGUAGAGGUUUGAUAUUCUAAAUCAGAAUGAAAUCAAUUACUUUAGAGUUAAUCCUAUGUGUUUAGCCUGGAAAUGCAUCUAGAAAUGUAUAAGUAGAAGAUCGAAGCGGAAACAUCAGAAGUUCACUCAGAAGUAAGGAUACCUCUGUCUAAGUAGACCAAUAAUAAUAUAGCGUACACAUAAUCAGAAUUGAGGCUUAACUACUUAACUUAGGGCCGAUGUAAUUGAGCCAACACCAAUGAGACUAUAGCCCAGAACUUGUACUUCCCUUACUGCCAUAUAAAGCGGCCCUGCUCCACGCAAGAUAAGGCUAACUGCCCUCACCUUAAAACUGCAUUUCAUCUUCGAUUCUUAUAAUGUAAACAAAACUCUGGUCUAUCAGACUCACUACCUAUUCACUAAGUCUCCCUUUUCUAUAUCUCCUUCUGUUACGGGACCCACCUAGUGCAUCUAACAAUAGAUUAUAGCUCUACCCUUACUUGCUAGAGAACUCAGCUUACUACUAAAGGAAUGACUUCUAUUUAUAAGAGAACAACUUGAAAGUCAUAUUGACUUGACCACCAACAAGACUGACUUUACUAGCGGGUAAAUCCACUGCUGCUAACAGGGCUUUUGUUAACUGCUAUCAGAGUACUACGACUACCAAUACUGGAACUGGAACCGGGAAUCCAACACCCCAGUCUAAUACCUGGAACAAUAAAGAAAGAAAUCCAUUAGUGCUUCUCAGAACGUAGCUACUGCCUAUGAAAGAAAGCCUACUGCCACUAAAGAGCUUGAAGUCCUUGGCCACCUUCUAUGGUUCUUCAACUAACUAAAAACCAAGAAAAGAACAAAGAAAUUGUACUCGGGGAGAUGUAUAGAGACUACUCCAGCCGGUAUAUAGGGCAAUACUCACUACCAAGAGCAAACAAAGCUUUAAAGCAGUAAUAGCUUGCAAGGUAGACAGGAGCUGCAUCGCAGUACACGAGUACAUACACAUUAACGCUCACGGGGGUGUAGAACAAAUGUGCUCCAACCAUCUUGCAGAGGGGGAAGUCGCUCAUACCGAGGGAGAUAGCCUAUCACUCUUAGAAUUCGCCUACGUACCUCUAAUAAGCACCAAACGGAUGAAACUCAACCUAACCUAGCGCUUCUAAGCCAACAACAAGAACAGGAACAGCCAAGGAAAAGAGGUACGCAAGGGAGACAAUUCCAUAUAUGAAGAGCCAGAUCUUGUAACUUCAAUUGACUUAAGGGCUUGACUUGCAACUUCAAUAAGAACAGGAACAGGGGAUUCCACUCCUAAUGAAAGGGAUUCAACUACUCUACUACUAGUUGGUGCUGUCAACCAGUUCAGUCUCUUCUUAUAAUGUAUUCGUUGCUUGGCCUUUUCAACUGAUACUGUCGAUAAACAGACUCGCGAACUACUGCUACCAAGUCUCCCCUCUCCCGCUUCCAAUCUAAUAUUAAUGCUCAUAGGUCUGAUUCCGCUGCUAACAAGACUUCUGCCCGUGUCAACAAAACAAUGCUUGAACUUAUAACCCUUACUGUGUAUCUAAGCCCGUAGCUAAUACCUUUUUUCACUAUGCCUUUCCUGCCUUACAUGCUUUAACUAAUGGUCUAAUUCCCGUAGUUCACCUCUCUUAGCUUAGCCCACCACUCCUAGCUAUCAAACUGAAACUAAGGCCUUACACUCAUUCUUUUAGUGCUUCUUUUCAUUCUGAUUCAGUUAACUUAUAAUAAUGCAAAUAUUAAUUAAUAAUGAGUAAUCUUGCGCCGCUUACUUGUCUAGUGUCUUGGUCCGAACACAUCAGUCACUGACCUAAAGCCUGACUCACCGGGUAGGCAACCUAGAACACCGCUCCGCCUUAGUGUCUUGCUUAUUAGUUUCAAACUAAAGCUGGUACUUCUUAUACUGUAGCUAUUGAUCUAACCAAUACCGGUAAGAAGCACACUCAUAACUAGUAAAUCACUACUACCCAGAUAGCCUUAACUCAAAGACGGCAAUCCAACAACUAUUGAUGAGACUGUAGCUACUGACUACUAGAUAACACUACUAAUAUAUGGAAUGCACGACUACCCACUAGAUCAAACACUGCACUAUGGAAUUUGGAGCUGCUGCUGAUGAGACUUGAACCAAUGCUAAUCAGAACGAAAACACCUGUAAGAAUAGCUAGCCUUCUAAGACAACCUAGUAAGCCCUACCUCCUUUCAGCAAGUAAGGGCAAGCUCAUAAGGCAAUAGAGCAAGGAUAGGGAUCAUAACUACAGAAACAGAACCCAAUUAAUAGUUAUAAGACGAAACAUAGGCUGAAACUCCAAGUAGAGAAUAAAGGUAGUGUAAAAGACAACUACAAUAAAUAACUCCACAUAAUGUACUUAGUACGAGUUUCUUACUUCGGAUGUGGUUAUGGCGGCAGGUAGCGAGUUGGGUCUCGUGCUCCUGUCUUUUGUUCCUUAACGCUGACUGUGGAUCCUCUAUUGAACCUGUUAGUCUGCCUUUGCUUGUGAAAAGUCUUUAGCUACUUACUUGAUUUCUUGUAAUACUGCCUAUGAUCCUUACUAUACUUUGACUUUGAUUCUCUACUUUAUCUUGGGCCCGGCACCCUUGCUUGCUAGUUAAAGAAGCCAACUACUCAUUCGAAUAUGAUAACUCGAACCAGGGGGUAAUAACAACCAAUACUUAGGGGAAUCAUAACAACCAGCACCCAAGGGAAUCCAACUAUGGGCAAACUGACUUGAGCUACUACUUCUAAGAAGAGAUCUGCCCUACCUAGCUAUCAUUCUGACUAUACCUUUGAUCAGCCUACCCUUCCUGACUCUUAUUCUUUACCUAGUGAUCCGGAUCCUUACUCAUUUGGUUUAGAACCCAACUACUACUAAUAAGGGUUGAGCACAGAACAUAGACUUAUAUAAUGUCUAGCGAAUCUUCCUAUUACUGAUAAAAUACCCGAACUUGGUUAAGCAGACUGCCGCUACACAUUACCUGUUAUGUUGAUGCUUAGGUUUAAGUCCUUCACUGCUUAGUUUCAUCUUUGUUACCUCGCCUUUCCGUCUGCGACUACUUGAUCUAAGGCUAACUCCGCCUCUCCUAGCUAUAAAACGGAAAUGACUUAUUUACAUUCCCGCUUGCCCACUACUUUCUUGGGUUCUGUAUUACCUAUUAUUUCACUGCUGACUUAAAAGCUGUCCUUACUCGCUAUAGGUCUCACUGUCCUUGCUUCGAUUCUAUGUAUUCUUCCUGACAUCUCUGCCUGUUAGUUAAAGAAUAUCCACCCUACUAAUACUGAUUUCAAUCAUCGCCAACAAGCCUUUGACUACCACUCACACGAUCCCCGCUUACAUGCCUCUACUCCCUUAGGCUUUCAGCACCCGAACCCACUUCUUUACUUAUAGCUUAAAAGCCUCUCCUCUGUCAACAACUACUGAUGAAACGGGUUCCCUUGCCCACCUCUGUUGGAUUAUACCUUGCAUACCUAGACUCUAAAGUCACUUAGGAUAUCCCUUUGAGCCCUCUCCUCUUUCUCGCCUACCCAUCUAUAUCUGACAUGGCAAAUGAUUCUAUUUCCACUUUACAACUGGACCAGACCACUUACUAAUGCUAAGGUAGGGGCAUACAUACUAUACUAUAUUACUUAUUACAGGCAAGGAAGCACUAACGGUAUGAAGACUCUCAUUGCAGCUGACUUUGGCAAGCCUCGGAUCCUUCUCUUGCAACACCUGAUAGAGAGUCGACAACCUCAACUCACACUGCUGAAGAAUUCUUAGUUGACUCGGCAACUUACAAUAAAUACUCUGUGCUCUCACUUUUAUAAGCAUUACUCAUCCUAUAGCCAAGCAGUAUAUCCUGGGAAGACCUUUGCUUAUGGAGCACUUAUCGUUUUGGCCUUUCUUUGCCUUUGUAGUAGUGACUGCAUUGAUUCUUCAAAUUCUAUAAAUGAUUUCUUAUAUAUUAUAUAAUAGAACAAUAGAACUGAUGAAACUGCUAAUGAGUCUGACCUAGAACUGAUGAAACAGCUAAUGAGGAAUUAACAGUAAAGCCUAACUGCUUCCCUUUCUGACCCAACUAAGACAGAUUCCACUGGCAAGGAAGCACUAAAUAGCCCCGGGGUGAAGACGAAACUAGGGAUGAAACCUACUCCUAGUAAGCGCUAACCUAGGAACUCCGCCUAUAUUCCUUCCCCCCUCUCUCCUUCCAACAAGCCCAGCAGCUGUCAACUAUUGACUGACUGAAUGAGGCCGGCUCCUCUACCGUAGUUAACAAAUACAGAAAUGGACUAGCGGCCCUUUAGCCAUGAAUACAGGACUCAUAGGGGCACCGAACUAUAAAGACAGAAAUCAACCCUGCUUAAUUGACUCAUUGCCCGGACUGCCGCCCGAACAAAGCACUUGGUGUUAACUCUAUUAUUAACUGACUGUUUCUUGUCUGCUUGGCCGGUAUUCCACUGGCAUUAAAGAAUGAAACUUGCUGAUGGCUCCUAUAGCUCGUUAAAGAAUCUAUCUCCUAUAGCUCGUUAAAGAAUCUAUCUCCUAUAGCUCGCUAACUUUCAUUCUCACUUGCGGAAUUCUUAUCCUAUAACUCCGCCCCUAACUCUAAUAAGUGUUCACCCCGACCCGAACGAAACUUUCCACUUACUUUACCUCGAACAGCAUCUUUUCUCUCUCCUAUAGCUCUGGCAACAGGCAAUACUUCUGACUUUGUUAACUACUGACGAGUUUCAUUCUUACUUGAUAACUGGAACUGGGGCAGACCUGCUUGCGCCAUCGGAUCUAGCUUCUAUUCCACCUCUUACCUAUGUCCUUUAGUAGUAGUAGCACUGGUAGCAAUGCCAAUAUUACCCUGCAAACUGGGAAUUCCGCAUCUGUAUUCUGAUACGACUUCUUCAACACCAAAGCUAUCCUUUCUUCACCGACUACACUAGCACCUAACCUAUCUUAUACUGGGCCAAGCAGCCAAGCAACGGCUACUGAUGCUGAUUCUAUUUCUUCCCUUGAUUCUUCUGUCACUCCUAUUGAGAUUUUCCCUUGAUUCUUCUGUCACUCCUAUGCUCUCGAUCGCGUAUAUAGUCCCUUGUUCUUAUUCUUUCUAUGGCAUCUUAUCUUCUCUUUGGAACCCCUGAUUUCAGUAUGAUUGAGGAUCCCCUUCAUUCUCGUAUGUGAUGAAUCCAUAGAUGAUCAAAGGAAAUCCGAUUUCGGCAUGAACCCGCUUACAACUCAUUAUUGAUUGAACCCGCUUACAACUCAUUCGUGAUUGAACCCGCUUACAACUCAUUAUUGAUUUCCCCUGUUAGUCUGCCUCUAACUCUACUUGGUUUCAACCUUGUUGAUUCUUUUCUGACUCUUUCCUAUGCUAUGGUUAAGGCGUUGGUGCACAUUCCACGGUUCUUACUAUUAAUAGGCGUAUUUCUCUUCCAGGGUUUCGAGGUUCGAUCUCACAUUACAUUACACUCACAUUACAUUACAGGUUAUCGAGUAGUUGCUAAGUUCACUUGUCUCUGCUUGUCUGUUCUUUUGAGUUUCUCUUGUUUGAUUACAAUACCCUAGCCCUACCAGAACAAGUAAGUAAACGAAUUCUUCUUUCUGACCUCUACUCCCAGGAUUGGAUACCUUGCGAAGGAUACCCUGGCUAAGAAAUGCACUGAGAAAAGUAUAAGUACGAUCCCCUAAGGCAUCAGAUAAGGUACGAAUGAAACUACUCAUUCAACAUAUUUGUAUAGGACCUACAAACGGAAAGUAAGCCUGCCAUUCCUCACUCUAAAGCUACCGACCUCAGAUCCGUGCCUAUCCGCGCCUUUCUCUCAGCUUUCUUACUGCCCUGGCUUUCAUGUCUCCGUUCCUGCUACUACUGCUUGCAACUCCUAUGUGCGAGUCUUCUUCUCCUUUCUUUCAAGUAGUAAAUACAGAGUGCAACUCAACAGUACAAUAAUGACUCAUAAGUAGGGAAUUUUACCCUAAAGCAAGAAUCCAUCAAGUAAGUCACAGAGCGAAACCCAAUAGUCAAAGAAUAAUGGAACAUAGGAAUGCCGGGCAGGAAAGUCAGCCUCACUGUUUCCAUUAAGACUAGAAGGAAGGAUCGGCAGGUUCACUCUCGAACUGUAGAAUACACGACAUGGUUCUCAUACUUUAAGAGGGAGGCGGCCGGUAUUCUCUUGCUGAUUCUCUUUGUGGGCGUUAUUUAAGUCUUAGAGGUGAUAGUUUUGUUUCCCCUACUAAUGAGUUGAUUUCUCCGACUCAAGAGUGUAUUUCCCCUGCUUGAGCUUAGGUCUUAUACCAAUGGGGAAACUCUGAUGCUUGCUACUCAAACUAUUAGUAUAUAACUAGAUGCGCUAGCUGUACAGUACAGACUUAGGCUUUAUACUUCCGGUAUAUAUAGUUCACUUGUGAGCCUGUGCCCCUCGUAAUUCUUCUUCUCUUCUUGCUAUACCUUAUUUAGCCUGCCUUUCAUUCCUAUACUAUUAAAUAUUCAUCUGAUUCCUAUGCUAAUAAGGAUCACACUACUGCGGAUGAGGCUACUACUACUUAAUUUCAUUCAUACUUAUCAGAAGGAACACCUGGGCCCUAGACCAUACCACCUUGCUAGAUUAGAUCAUAGUCACCUACCCUAUUCUCAGUAUCCAAACUUCAGAGUCACAUUCUUAUGUUCCGUACUCCAUUCUGUAAUUCUGAUUUCUCAUAGAAAAACCAUAUCCUUCAUCUACAUUUAUAGGAUUAACUACGGAUUAACUACAAUAACACAUAGGAUUAACUACCAAUUAUGGAAUUCUUAUUUGCCAUAGAAAAACUAUAUCCUUUAUUGCCUAACACCAAGCUAUGGAUUGCCGCCUGCCACGCAUUUUCCUUCGUAGGAGCAGCAUUUUCUCCAGUCAUUUCACUAAUAGGUGUGAGCAACGGAGAAUUACAAUAAGGGGGGCGGGUUUGCUUCUUUAGUUUGAGCUUCAAACUUCGACUCCAGAUCUAACAUCUAGCUUGUCACUUUCAUUCUCUGUGUUGUUCCCUUCCAUUCUUAGACUUAUUUCUGCAAUGCCUAGUUAUGAGUUAAAGCAUUAGUUCUGAGCUAAGGCCUCGUGCACCUCUCGGAAGCCUUAAGCAGGAGGUUGACUCUACAGAAUUUCCCUCAGUAGUUUAAGAAUGGGACUCAUCGGUGAGCUAGUAGGAGCCUAAGAAUCAAACCGGGGAAUGAAAGAAUGAAGCAGUGUUGUUACGAGAAGAAACAGUGUUGUCUCAAGGAACCGAACCGUAGCAAGCAGGAAGGAAAGUGUAGUGAAGGGAAUGGGGAAUCCAAAUAAAGGGAGACAAUUCCAUGUGAGUUGCAACGAGACCCUUAUUUUGGAAAGGGUGCGCGAGCAGAGCAAGCAAGUGCAAUUCCGGGUCGGUCUUUCAUCAAGUGGAAAGUCUGGAUCAAGAUCUUAAGCGGGAAGAAACUGACCUUAAAGUGGAGUGGAAUCUGUUUGUCUUAGAGAAUGUCCUGUAUUGCCUUCACUUGCUAUCCUUGCUCAAACUAAACGGAUUGCCUUUACUUCUUAUGGGUCGGUGAUUGGCUUUCCCUUGUAAUUGAGUUCAAGUCAAGAAGUGUAUAGAAAAAGACAAUAAGAGUCAAAGAUAGAUUCACUUCAUACAGUUUCUAGUAAAGGGAAGGGAAAGAAUUCAGUAAAGGAUUGGAAGCCCUAAGUCAAUCAGUAAGUGAAUCCCUGACCUCCAGUAAGUUAAUCCGUUGCCCUCAAUCCUGACCUCACAGGUCAUAUUCUUUCUUUCUUACUAUCACAGCUUCAACCAAGAAGGGGGCACUCAAAGUUCUUCCAGAAGCCGGGGGGCAUGUCAGAGGAUGAUUUGCAGGAGCGCACGCUGCUUAGGCAUUGGGUACUUCCGCUUGUGUCGUGUUACUAUACUGUACUGGCUUCGGAUUAUGUUACUAUUGAAGAAGCCCUUUCAGGCCCCGUAGUAGCAACAGAUUGGCGUGCCCAUAAGGACGUAAACUCAGUUCUCCAAAAGUAUGGUUGACUUUUUCAGAUUGACGAUCGGAUCGCCUCCCUUGGUUUGGACUAUACAGCUCCUUUAUGAGUUCCUCACAACUCGGGUCAUAAUUGGGGCGGACUCCUUCUCGGAUGCAAUGCAGUGGUCUUCUCUUUCUAUGGGUUUUCUGCAGUGGAACCUGUCAAGUUAAGUAUUUGAAUUCACAGUGGGACGUUAUCAAUCCAAAGUGGACUUUGGGGUCAAAGCCAAGAGGUGGUGCCCCGUCCGUAGCCUUACGUUCUCUCUCCUUCUUUCUCUCCUGUCUGGUUUUCCGGUAGGGGCGAAUAGCAUUCCCAGAAGUGGACAUUCUCUGUCUUUUCCAUUCUAUCUCUCCCCCAGCCCAGCGACGCAUUUCCCUUACUCCGUUAAUUCAAUAUCUGUCUUUCGCCUGCGAAUCCUUAUCUCUAUCCCUUUGUUGAUGAAUAAAGGAGCACGUGGUGAAUACUGAGAACAUGAAUUCCCUUACGCUGUUGCGAAGCAAUUGGAAUUCUGGAUCAUCGAAGAAUGGAAAAAUGCGCCUAUCUCUAGGAAGACCGUUCAUCAACUCAUUUCUCGGUCUGGUCAUCAAAAGUAGAAUUUGCACUUUGUUGUCACCAGCCGAAUCUCUGAGAAGGAUCACCUGCUCCUGUUCAGCUGCACCUCCCACUAUGAGAAGUCAGAACUUAUAUGCUGUGUCCUCGUAAUUAAUAUGUUAGUUUGCUCGCGGUAAUUGUGGCCUAUCGGGAGAAUCGAUGACGACUUGAAAAACUCCCUUUCCGUUUGUCUAUGUACGCGACCUUUCUUAUAAUAAGAAAGAGACACAAGAAGAGGCAGAGAGAGAGCUCAGAAAAAAGUCAAGGAGAGGUCUUCGGACAUUCAGUCCAAAUCUAGGAAAAGGAGUCAUGUAAUAUGCAAUCAGAGUGCUUACUGCAUUUUCUCCAUGUCUUCGAGCUCUCGGUUUAGUAUGAUUUUCAUCCAAGCAAGCCGCUUUUCUUUGCUUUUCCCGUAAAUUGGAGUCGAGAAAGAAGCUCUAUCCUUACUCAUAAGAUCAGAUUCAAGUUAGAAAGAAGGCCAUCCAUUCAUUUUCAUGGACAAGGCUGGAAAGGAAGUUCCAUUUCUUCUAGUCUUUGUUUAGAAUUGACUUUCUUUUGAGUAGUUGCAACGUGGGAUUGCAGAUAUUGCCAUUGUCUCAGAAGUCGCAUCGCAAUAGUAUAGAAAAGCGCCUAUAGUUCCUAGUGUCACUUCGAAUAUCGACUACUUUACUGAUUCCAUUUCGAAACUCUGAGAAAUAGAUCCUUACCGAUUGCCCCAUUCUCACGUGUUGCUGUUUCUUUGGUUGCCUUCCAUCCCGUAUUGUUUGAAAGGAGUGCUCAAGUUUGUAAGUUAGCUCUACGGACAAGAGCUAGUCACAACAUAAUGAUAGGUGUAAGAUAUUAUUGCUAUUUGAGACAGGCGCUAAAUCGACAGAGUCCCGUUGCUUGGCGUCUGCUUGUUCUAUCCAUUUCUGAAGUUGAUCGAAAGUUGUUGAAAGGUUAUAGUUAUAAGGAAGUCCCUCCCAUCUCUUUUGUCUUAUUACUUUAGAUUAUGAUAUUGAUAGUGUCCUAUAGUGUUUUUAGUGGAAAUAUGCUACCUGAUAAUUACUAUAGUUGUCAAGAAAGAAAGUAUGCUUUAAAGGUGCGCAGCAGCAAACAUUAGAAGGUAUAGAUUUUCUGGUAAUAAGAGUAAUAGAUAGAUGAUUCAAUUCAACUAGCAGGGGAACCAUCAAGCGCAGCGGGAACGGGAAGGAGAGUUUGCCUUUCAAUCUGCAACUACUAUACAAGUUUCUAUUAGUUGUCCAUUCAAUGAUUCUCUUCUUUUUGUUUGUGCCGGUACACUUUCUUAGCGCGCAUUUCUUGAGUAAGGGCACCCAUAUUCUAAGAUGACUUUCAAUCCACAUUAGAUAAGAGAACUUUUCAAUCCAUUAGUUUCAUAAGUAGAAGCUGUGAGGUUCGGUAUAGCCAGCAGUAAUAGGUAUGUAUAGGAUGGGACAUCAUUCAUUAUCUACGUUUUGCACUCAAUUCUUUUCAACAAGCAAGGGAAAGGGCUAUCGUGGACCACAAGCUUUAGCGACCGGACCACUUUAAGGCACCUACAAACAAUAUAGGGCAAGCAAUACUUCACUUUCCGGCUUGAAGCACAGAGAGGCUGGCUUAUUUUGCUCUUCAUCAUUAUAUAGUUAAGAGUAUACUAACAUUUGUUUCCUAAGCUCGGGUCGGGGUGCUAACAUGAGUUUGCUAAGUUCAUAAGUGCUGUUGUUAGUGUGCGAAAGCCUAAUGUGUAAUUGGUUUAGUGGUAUGGCAUAAGAAUCCAAAAUCCAUGAUGAAAGCUAGAGCGCAAAGGUCAAGUUCACAAAAGGAAUAGCUGCUCUCUCCGCUGGGCUGGGCGCUAAGGAAGACCAUCAUCUCGAUUCCGUUCAGGCUGUCAACAACUGUAAACUACUCCCUUCCCAUCAACCACUUUCCUGGAAUUCCCUAUACACUAGCACCCGACCCUACAUCCACUGUUUAUUUGAUUGAUUGAUUUCCCACCGACUUGAGCCUCUGUUCCCGCUUUUUCCGUUUAUGACCUUAGAGUUCCAUUCUGAUUCGAGUCCAGUGCAUCGGCUCCCUACUUAUAAUCUGGAUUCGACUGAGUGAGAGUCCUUUCCGAGAGACGGAACCUCUGCACGAGAUGAGGCUUCUGUAUAUAUGAAAAACUCAAACAACACUUUCUGCUCUAACAGCUUACCUUGAAAGCGAAGGAACAAGUUAACUCGCAACGGCUGCAAAGACGAACAAGCAAAGAGAGGGUAAGACUAUGGAAAUCCUUCUAUGAAGGAAGGCAUUCUGAACGUCUACGUGGAAUAGUCUAGUUGAUGGACAGGACAUCGUGUAUUUAUAGGCUCUAACAAAACGAAUGGUUGCAUGGUGGGAGGUUUCGCAAUGCCUCGCAUCCGUCACUACUUUGAAAUCGCUUUAUCGUUCUAUUGAUUGAGCAUUGGAGGAAAAGGGGAGAAAUCUCUGUAAUAAGAUUCUGUCAAGGACUUAUAAGCAUGAAUCGCACAGAGGUACUCUCAAAGAUCAAUCACUAUACGAUAGAAUUACGAAAAAAGAGGAAAUCAACAUGGAAUUUUGGUCGAAACCCUUGUUUGUACAAGGCUCAUCACAGGAGAUCUAGUACAUCGAGCUACAAACCAUAUAGUAAAAGCGCUCAGACGAGAAAAAACUCAUAGAAUAAUGGAAAACAAUCAGGAGUUCCAGAGGUCGGAACGGCGGCUCAGGUGAGAUGAGACAAAGUCAACUCGGCAUGCAAGCAAACCGAACGUGUCUCGUAUCCAUCAGCCAAACGGGUUACCUGUAAGCGUAGAGUUAUUACCCAGUCCUCAUUCAGUAGCGGUGCGAGUAUAAGUAGUUGGAGGUGAUUCAAAUACAAGUACGCGCGGGAAGGAACUGAAGGUCGACGAGAGAAGAUGUAUCAGCCGUCUCACAGGAUUAGACUCCGUUUCAAUAGAAUCCGCAGUUAUAGUGGGGACCGGGACAGAAUCAUUUCCCUCCUAUGCGCUAAGUACUGAAACGGAAUAAUUAGACAGGUAAAGAUGGAUUAGGGUAACUCACCCACAUAGUGCUCAAGUGUCAUAAUUCCAUAAUGGAGUUUCUGUUCCCUACUAGCAAUUCUAAAAAGAACAACUAUGGGAAUGAUUCAAACGCGGUUAUUCUACGCAAAUCUAAGAUAAUAGACCAAGUUAGAUGGGAAUCGCCUCUACAAAGCUUGUUUUAUUUAUAGAGACUUAGUAAACAAGGAAAGGAUGCGUUGAGGCCCGCGCCCUUGAUACGUAGCUGAUCUUUAGCUAGUUUCUAAUCUUUUGACCCAGCAGUGGUAAACUAAUAUCGGAAGUAUCCUCGGGACGGAUCAAGGUUCUACUUUCAUUGCUUCAAGAAAAACGAAACCAGAUGGGGAACCUUUUAGGACACAUGCGAACAAUCAAACUACGACCGCCACAAAGUCUUCGUAUGCUAUUCCAUUCCUCACCCAACCCAAACGUCCUCAGUAGGGAUCACCAUCCAUGCGCUCUUUGGUGCUACCUUAGAUACAACUGUAUACUCCCAUUGAGCAUUCGAACAGAUGGCAUCUAUGCUAUCAGCCAACAACUAGGAUUCCUGAUUGUCGCCCGCUCCGAGCAAACUAGGGGACAACACGUCCUCGAGACAUAGCCUUACCAGAUGGGCGAGACAUAGCCUUACCAGAUGGGAAGGAAGAAGGGAGCCGCACUAGUACUUUCGGGGCUUACUAAGGGCUUCUUUCUUUCCAGGCGUAACAACAUUUUCAUUGGGGGUCGCACCAUACGCUUUUGACUAAGACCUUUUAUGGAUAAGGACAAGAGGCUCGUUACCAAGCUCGAUGCUUUUAAUAGGAACCACGAGGCCUCAUAUGCUGCCAGAGGUAAGUUAAGGCUCUUCCUUUUUCCCUUUCUCUUUAAAGAAAAAAGAAUCCGAUCCGAUUUGCAAGGAAGUGACACAAGCUCCUUAUUGCCAGUCUUAUGUAUAGGAAAUCAUGGGCCAAGCAGACAAGAUGAAUAAGUGCUGUGCCCUUAAUUAAUGCCAUGGGUUUGAAAGCCCUAAGUGGUACCAGUGGAAUCAGUAUUAGUUUACCUUAUAUUAAGUAACACUAGCGGCAGUAACGAAUAACAGUGUCGUACGAGUGGAAAGGCUUUCAGCACCUUCUCGUAAUUGGCUAGUCUAGUCAAGGGAAACUUACACUCAUGAAGGAGCAGCUAGAAGGAUCAGAGUAUUACUUAUAAGCUUGAGAAGGAUAAGAGUAUGAUGAGGAAGGUGGAAACCAGAGGAUAAGAAUGCAGGUAUCAAACUUCAGACUUAUAUAUCUGCGGAGCUAUAAGACAAGCCGAAAAGAGGAUUGAGCUAUUCAGGUAGAAAACGUAAGAAGAGGAUUGAGCUCUGUUUAUAGAUAUUGGUCGCUAACCCUUAAUACCAGAAGCAUAUUUGGAACUGGUCUAAGCGCAAGGAAUCAUCUCUUCUUCAGCUAACGUACGAGUCUGUCCUUUAUUUCUGUUUCGCCCUUGUAACUGAGUCCGUUGAGUUUCUAUCUUCUGCUAAUGGAGUUAAGUCAUGUGAGUUACUGUCUUCAACAUUUGGUGUUAGCCAGCGCCAAAGUGCCUUAGUGCAUUAGUCAAUGUCAAGAGCAAGUCAACAAGUAUUAUGGAAAAUGACACACUGAAUACUUCCUUUAGGCAAGAAUCAAGUACUUUAGUCUAUGGUUCGUUCGGUUAGGAAGCAACGCUGUGUUGUUUACCCUUGUGCAAGAGAGAUUCCAUGAAUUCUGCUUCUGGGUUUCCUUCAGACUCAACAGUACCAACAAGACUAUGUUUAGUAAGGGAUGGGAAGGGAGUUGGGAGAUGUAGACAGUUCCUGUUCCGUUUCUAGGUCUAUUCCUCAAUUAUAUAACACAUCAGUAAGAAAUGAAUGUUUGACUUCCGCUAAGUAUACAGUACAAACAAUCAAAAGUGGUAGAGUGAGCUUACUUCGGGCUGCCCCUAUUCGUUCUUAAACAAACAAGUCUGGAGUGAGUUUAGUUUCGGGGGGAACAAGCUUAGACUAAAUAAGCGCAGGAGUGAGAGGUGCGAAAGAGAAAGCUAAGCCUUACAUUCAACAAGCAUUAAGGUGUUUGUUAAUAAAUUCAUUAUGGAAUAGGGGUCAAUGAUACACAGAAAAAGAAGCAAGCAGUAGAAAGAAAGUCAGCAAACUUUUCUUCAAGCAAUAAUUCACUGGUACUGGUUUUGGCAAAUUCGCUAAUGCUAGUUAUGGCGCUAACUGAGCUCACCCUUAAGAUACUCGUACUCAGAGCACUUCAGAGGAUAAGGCAAUUAUGAAAGUCAGGCAAUCAGGCUUCAUUCGCUGUCGCCAACAAAGCAUUAAAAGCAUUCCUAAAAAGGAAACAGGUCGUAUUUAUGAGCCAGAGCAGAGGUAUUAAUUCAGCAAGUAAGAAGGAAAGGAGAAAACGUUCCAUUAUUGACUGCCCGACGAGUGGUAAUUGCCUGUUUCUCUGCAGAGUAGCGGUAACUCAACUCCCUUAGCUUACUUGUCUUCUACUAUAUGCGCUAGCAAUUAUGUAUUAUGGCCCUCAGGUUUCUUAGUCAUUAAAGGAAUGCGCUACAUCUAUCUCUUAUCCCUUGCCCACCUAUCCCUUUUGUUAUCUUACAGCGACCUAUCUCUUCGAUCACCUACUUCUUUCUUUAUUCAUAUAUAUUAUGUUCUGUUCUUGCCUCCAUCUCAUCUAACUCAGGCUACAAUUCAUUUCACCCUGCUGGCUCUGCUGGGCUUGUGGAAUUCCCGAAUUGACUAGCUAACCUGCCGUUCCUAUAGCUCGCUACCUCUUUCACUCGCUAUGUCUUUACUUCAGUAUAUACCAUUACUUCAGUCUAUACCUUAUGCUCAAUAAUAAAGUAUUGACUCGGUGUAAGAAAGAUUCCUGUUUGACUCGGCGUCCGGAAAGAAAGCUGUUAGAGCUGUUUCUGUUGAAAGAGAAGAAUGACUAGUUCCCCUUCGACUUGAAUCCGUGGUUGCAACGAUAGAAUCGGCCGUUCAAAAGUCAGUAGCAAUUGGUUCUUCAAGAAGUAUUGUUCCAGCUCGAAUAGAAGAUUUGUAUAUAGUUGCUCGUCGGGCAGGAAAUGGAACUGAUUGUCCGUCCCGCUGAUGCUCUUGAAACUAAAUCACCCUUACCUUUAGCCGACCUCAACACUGAUUUAAUUGCAGAUGAAACUCCAACUGGAAAUCCAUCUACUUCAGUACAAAGAGCUACCUGGGUUGGGUGCUAGUGGUUUAGUAUAUGGAAACCGUUUUCCUUUCCUUGGCUUAUGUGAGGAAUAUAUUACAGGCGUGUGAAGCUAAGGGAAUCAAAUGUAAGUAAUCUAACUAGGGGGAGGCUUUUAAGAAAGAAGUAAUUCACAACGUAUGAAGAAGCAGUGCGAAAGUCAGCAGCAAACGUAUAUGUACUAGAGUCUAAU
rnacentral:lncRNA from 1 species